CGUGUCAGAGCUCGAGCAGGAUUCAAGUCUCCUAACCAGUGCACUGCCUCUUCACUUGCCAGUGCCACCUCCGGAGGGGCAGUCUGGGAGCUUGUGUGUCUAGCACUGGUGGGAAAGUUGGCAACAAGCCUCCAGGGGGCCAAGCCUCCUGCUUCCUUCCUGAUCGCUCCUAUACCUGGGGCCCCGCAGGUGCCUCCUCCUUGGCAAGGGGCAAGGAAUGGGAGCAGAUCUUGGCCUGAGCCUCUCCCAUCCGCCACUGGACAUGGAGCCUUCCCACCUCAAGGCUCACGUGCCCUUGCCCUGACGUUGACGGAGGGCCAUGCUGGGUGGCUUCCCGAAUUGCCUCUUAGCCUCCAUGCCUGUGUUCAUGCUGUACCUCCGUCCUGGGCCACAUCUACAGCCACCUGCUGGGAAACCUCCCCGGAGCUCCGCCAGGACGGGAUUUCGAAGGCCUGUCUGGGAAAGUUGCAGAAAUCCUCUGUGGAAUCAUCUGGAACACUGGUUGGAUUUCAGGACACAUCAGGAUUUUCUACCCCCAGGCCCACCCGCCUUGGUGGUCUCCAGUUCUCAGUGCACAUCUUAGGAUGCUUUGCAGUCGUGAAGGCUUUGGGGUGAGGGCGACAAAUGGCUCUGCAGAGACACAAAAGUGCGUUUUAAUUAACGUCGCUGGUUUGCCUGCUCCGUCUGCUUCAGAGACUUGGUCUGAGAAGCCAACUCUCCCUUGCUGUCUUUAUUUCAUCCUCCCUGCCCGCUGUCGGGAUGGUGAGUUCUGUUUUGCACCUGGAGCCUCCCCGUGAGCUGAUCCGGUCCAGGUUGCCCCAAACAUCUACCCUGAGAUAGCAACAAGUGGAC
rnacentral:lncRNA from 1 species